CCAAUAGCGUAUAUUAAAGUUGUUGCAGUUAAAAAGCUCGUAGUUGAAUUUCGGGGUCAGUAGGUCGGUCGUGCCACUGGUAUGAACUGGUUUUACUGAUUCCUCCCUCUUGAAGAACUGUAAUGCCAUUAAUUUGGUGUUACAGGGAAUCAGGACUGUUACUUUGAAAAAAUUAGAGUGUUUAAAGCAGGCUUUAGCUUGAAUACAUUAGCAUGGAAUAAUGAAAUAGGACGUUUGAUCCUAUUUUGUUGGUUCCUAGGAUUGACGUAAUGAUUAAUAGGGAUAGUUUGGGGCAUUAGUAUUCAAUUGUCAGAGGUGAAAUUCAUGGAUUUAUUGAGGACUAACUACUGCGAAAGCAUUUGCCAAGGAUGUUUUCAUUAAUCAAGAACGAAAGUUAGGGGAUCGAAGACGAUCAGAUACCGUAGUAGUCUUAACCAUAAACGAUGCCGACUAGGGAUCGGAUGAUGUUAAUUUUUUAAUGACUCAUUCGGCGCCUUACG
rnacentral:rRNA from 1 species